rnacentral:rRNA from 1 species
AGUGAACGCUGGCGGUAGGCCUAACACAUGCAAGUCGAACGGCAGCACAGUAAGAGCUUGCUCUUUCGGGUGGCGAGUGGCGGACGGGUGAGGAAUACAUCGGAAUCUACUUUUUCGUGGGGGAUAACGUAGGGAAACUUACGCUAAUACCGCAUACGACCUACGGGUGAAAGCAGGGGAUCUUCGGACCUUGCGCGAUUGAAUGAGCCGAUGUCGGAUUAGCUAGUUGGCGGGGUAAAGGCCCACCAAGGCGACGAUCCGUAGCUGGUCUGAGAGGAUGAUCAGCCACACUGGAACUGAGACACGGUCCAGACUCCUACGGGAGGCAGCAGUGGGGAAUAUUGGACAAUGGGCGCAAGCCCGAUCCAGCCAUACCGCGUGGGUGAAGAAGGCCUUCGGGUUGUAAAGCCCUUUUGUUGGGAAAGAAAAGCAGCAGGUUAAUACCCCGCUGUUCUGACGGUACCCAAAGAAUAAGCACCGGCUAACUUCGUG